UACGUAGGGUGCGAGCGUUAAUCGGAAUUACUGGGCGUAAAGCGUGCGCAGGCGGUUCGUUAAGUCCGAUGUGAAAGCCCCGAGCUUAACUUGGGAAUGGCAUUGGAAACUGGCGGGCUGGAGUGUGGCAGAGGGGGGUGGAAUUCCACGUGUAGCAGUGAAAUGCGUAGAGAUGUGGAGGAACACCGAUGGCGAAGGCAGCCCCCUGGGCCAACACUGACGCUCAGGCACGAAAGCGUGGGGAGCAAACAGG
rnacentral:rRNA from 1 species